AUGAACGCUGGCGGCGUGCUUAACACAUGCAAGUCAAGGGUGGCAACACACUGGCGAAAGGGUGAGUAACGCGUAGAUAAUCUGCCUCUUACUCUGACAUAACCCCGAGAAAUUGGGGCUAAUAUCAGGCGAGGUGCUUCGGCAUCAUAGUCUUCGGACGGUAUGAGAUGAGUCUGCGUCUGAUUAGCUAGUUGGUAAGGUAAUGGCUUACCAAGGCAACGAUCAGUAGCUGGUCUGAGAGGACGAUCAGCCACAUUGGAACUGAGACACGGUCCAAACUCCUACGGGAGGCAGCAGUGAGGAAUUUUGCACAAUGGAGGAAACUCUGAUGCAGCGACGCCGCGUGAAGGAUGAAGGAGCUCUGCUUCGUAAACUUCUGUCGGAUGGGAAUAAAAGUUCGUUUUACGGACUGGGAAUGUACCAUCAAAGGAAAGACCGGCUAACUACGU
rnacentral:rRNA from 1 species